GAAGAGAUUCUGUGCAGCCCCGCUCACAAAAGUCAUCGGCGAACUCACCGCCCCAUUCUCCGUUUUUUGAAGGGAUCGCUUCCCUGCCUGCCGAGGGUGAAGCUCCGAAGUUGUUGAUAGUCGUCUGUCCUCCCUCUCUUCCUCUCCAGGCAGCCGCGCGUGCUGUAGAAAACAAAAGCGCAUCAGGCAUGCUGCGGGUGUUUCGUUCCCAUUUUGUUUUUCGAUCUUGUCUCGGCCCCCUUCAACUGCAUCGCCUUGUCAUCCACUUGGCCGUAUCGUGGAACUUCCGACGUCCAGUCGAUUUUCUUUUCUUGUUUCUGCGCUCCUCUCUCAGCGUCCACCCCUGCUUUCAGUGCUGUUCGCGGUCUCUUUUUUUUUCUUUAGAUUGUCGUUAUUAGCUGGUGGUUUUCCUGUUGUUCAUUUGUUCCCUUUUCCAUUUCUUGUUGCGUCUCACCAUCCUUAUUUCUUGCACGCUCAGCAGCUGUCACUGCAUACGCCAUUUUCUCCAUCCUGCGACUUUCAUAGAGGGCGACGGUGAACACCCAAGCAAGAGGGGAUGGAGUCUUCCGCAUUACCCUACAUCACGCGCGAUGUAGCAACUGAGCCCCCGACCACUAUCGUCAUCGUAUCCUGUGGCGGCCAGCCACCGGAUCUGUCGAGCAAGGAUGAGACGAUGUUUGCCGUCACCGAGGACUGUGUGGAGCCGACGAAGGGCUGGAUCAACCGUGAAGGAAAGCCGUUGCUGACGGUGUGCUUUAUGCACAGCUUUGGCAAGUGUGUGGGGCGCACGAGCUCGAACCCGGCAACAUGCUUCCAGAUCCACAUCAAGGCAAACGUCCUCAAUGCACUCCGUAAGCAUUACACCAACCCGACCCGGCGUUUUUUCACGCGCACGGUGAAGGCGAUGCUCAGCCCGGAGCUUCGCCGGCUGCUGUGCAUGCGGGCACACAAAGAGUUCAAGGUGCAGUACCUCGAGUACCGCGUCAGCGACGUCUUUCCGUCAACCGGUCUGCUGCAGUACGAGGCAGCGUACCGGCGAUGGCUGUUCUCCGACGACACAAACGCAGAACACGCCGGCACCAUCACUGUUCUGCAGUGCCUGCACUUCUCCAUGACCGGGUCUUGCGACUCCAGCACAGACUGCCCGUACAUUCACGCCGAUCUCAAGAAAGCACAAGCACGCGAUCCGAUGCUGGCACGCGCACUGCGCGAUGUCAGCGACGUCACCCAGGGUCUUCCGACGGUGCCGAUUCGCGUUCCAGAGCUGCUGCCUGCGGGCCACCCGCCAACCAUCUGCCCCGCGGAUGCUACCUAUGCCACACUCACGGACGGCGCCAAUCUCCAGAGCGGUAUGCAAUCGGACCCGGCUCGAGAUUUCACCAAGGUGCCUGAUUUCACCGUGACGCGCGGUGAGGGGGAAAGCGGUGGACGCCGCGUGCCGCUUCAGAUGCACCAGCGCGAGUCCAGCUCUUCUUCAGCUGGGGGGCACGCGAACAGCACGCAUCCGCUCAGCCACGUGUCGUUCCUCAACCAAGAUGAGCCAGCGUCGGAGAUGGCCGCGGCCAAAACCCACCCCACAAGCGGCAAGAGCGAAAAGCACUCCUUCGACGGCAAGAGCGGCAGCGGAUGGGUGAACAGCAGCGACGAGGGUUUUGGCAACAGCAACAAUCACACCGGCAGCUGCGGCAGCGGAACCGAAUAGGAUUCUUUUCGAUUCCUUCUCCAUUAGCUUUAUCUUAUCUUUUUUUUUUUGACUCUGCCUACUCCGCGCGUGUGUAUAUACACGUGCAACUGUAGAGGGAGCGCCUCCACUUUUCUUUCCAUCCUCUGCACUCACUCUCAUUCUCGUUUCACCGUUUCUAUUCUCCUUUUCCACUUUCUUCACUUUGUCUUCUUUUCCCGUUUGCCACUCUUCGAGGCGCUGCCCAUUACUGCUCCUCCCCUCUCAGCAAACACGUGCGUAGUCAUGCGUGUACCUUCGUUUCUCUCUGGGCACCCGCCGCUCUCCAUGGCGACCACCAAAAGGCGUUUCCUCUUCCGCAACCUUUCUCGUUUUCUUUCGUGGUGCCCUUGCCUGUUCUCUCUCUCUUACUCCUCUUCCAGUUGAGUGCAUUGCUCGCACUUCACUUCUCGGCACGUUUUCUUUUGGAUGCGCUUCCUCCGUUGUGGUGACUUCUUGUCUUCAUCUCCCUUACGCCUUUGUUGCUCAUUUUACUUCCCCUGCUCUUUGCGAAUCAUACAAGCAGCGCUGGAGUGGUCCGGACGGUGUUCUCUUGCUUCCCCCUUUUCCGUUCGUCUGUUGUCUUUCUCUUGGCGCUGAUGACGGAGGAAACCGCAAUACAUGGUGUUACAGGGCUCACUACUCUACUCGGCGGCAAAGCCAAGCAGCCCGGACCCCCUCAUUCCUUGCGAAGUGCCGAACCACCUGUGGUGGUGACAGGGUCGCCGGCGCCGGCGCCGUGCUGGAAGUCCGGGCGACGUAUCGCUGCUGAUGUAGUUGGUCGGAUCCUGGCCGGGCGUUGCGUCGGGGCGACCGGCGACAGUGAACACGCGUGUGCCAUCCAUAUGAUUCGGCAGCGUGUCACCGCGUCUCGAGAGUAACCCGCCCGGGCCCCUACACCGCCCACUGGUGUGCGGGCGGGGGGAGGGCGGGGGCAGCGGCGCCCGCGCCCAUUCCGAGAAGGGAGGGAGGCACCAGCUGGCGGCCGGCGAGGCGGCGGGUGGGUGGGGUAGAGCUCGAGGGCAGAUGGCCGUGCUCAGAUAGCUGAGUCGGCAGCACUGCUGCACCGCGUGCCUGCCGCUUCUUCGCGCGACGCGGGGGGGGGGACUGUGACAGGCCGUGGGUGGAGCGGAGCUUGCCUUGUGUUGGAGCGGCAGAAUAGGCCAUGUGAAGAAAAAGUAUAAAGGACGAUUCACGCCAUCAUUACGUUCACUAGCGUAAACUGGUACACGCGCGCAGUGUUUGUGACUGAGCGCAGAACCGAACACUCUCUAUUCUGCAUAGCGAGGCUUUUUCAGGUACUCAAUAAUACACUGCCGUGUACCUGUACUCGGAAGUGGUGAAUGCUGAGAAAGCUUGGUUCUUCUAGGGUACUCCUUUCUUGCCCUUAGCCGUUGCCAUCGGCUUCAUCCCUGAUGAACGGAAAAGACUACUGAGCACGGUUCUACGUACGGGGUCAUGUUCCGUUCUCACAACAUCGUAUAGGACAUGUUGACUUUCCCCUCACACACAUGCCGGACCUGGCCUAUUGGCGUUUUGAUGCGAACACGCUCGCAUCACACCUGCACAUGGGUUCGUUGCCCUCAAUACAAAAUCGCUUCCUCACUGUCAUUCGCAG
rnacentral:misc_RNA from 1 species